AGAGUUUGAUCAUGGCUCAGAACGAACGCUGGUAGCGUGGAUUAGGCAUGCAAGUCGAACGGGAUCGGCAGCGGUAGUAAUACAACUGUCGUGAGAGUGGCGGAAGGGCGAGCAAUGCAUGGGCAAUCUACCCUUGAGCUGGGGAUAACGCCGUGAAAACGGUGCUAAUACCGAAUGUGGCUCUCCGAGGCAUCUCGGGGCGGCCAAAGGUGGGGACCGCAAGGCCUGCCGCUCAAGGAGGAGCCCGUGUGCCAUCAGCUUGUUGGCGAGGUAACGGCUCACCAAGGCUUACGGCUAGCUGGUCUGAGAGGACGACCAGCCGCACUGGGACUGAGACACUGCCCAGACUCCUACGGGAGGCUGCAGUCGAGGAUCAUUCGCAAUGGGCGAAAGCCUGACGAUGCGACGCUGCGUGGAGGAUGACGGCCUUCGGGUUGUAAACUCCUGUCAUGAGGAAAAAAGGUGCUGGGCGUGAAUAUCGCCUGGCCUCGAUGGUACCUCAAGAGGAAGCCACGGCUAACUCUGUGCCAGCAGCCGCGGUAAUACAGAGGUGGCGAGCGUUGUUCGGAUUUACUGGGCGUAAAGGGCGCGUAGGCUGUUUUGUGUGUCGAGUGUGAAAUCUCCAGGCUCAACCUGGAAAGUGCGCUCGAAACUGCAAGACUCGAGCAUGGUAGGGGAGAGCGGAAUACACAGUGUAGCGGUGAAAUGCGUUGAUAUUGUGUAGAACACCGGUGGCGAAGGCGGCUCUCUGGAACAUUGCUGACGCUGAGGCGCGAAAGUUGGGGGAGCAAACAGGAUUAGAUACCCUGGUAGUCCCAACUGUAAACGGUGUGCACUGGACGUGGGGGGAUUUCACCCCCCCCGUGUCGAAGCUAACGCGUUAAGUGCACCGCCUGGGGAGUACGGCCGCAAGGUUAAAACUCAAAUGAAUUGACGG
rnacentral:rRNA from 1 species